AUUCCAGACUCCUACGGGAGGCAGCAGUGAGGAAUAUUGGUCAAUGGGCGGGAGCCUGAACCAGCCAAGUCGCGUGAGGGAUGACGGCCCUAUGGGUUGUAAACCUCUUUUGCCAGGGAGCAAAGUGCCGCACGUGUGCGGUUUGGAGAGUACCCGGAGAAAAAGCAUCGGCUAACUCCGUGCCAGCAGCUGCGGUAAUACGGAGGAUGCGAGCGUUAUCCGGAUUUAUUGGGUUUAAAGGGAGCGUAGGUGGAUUGUUAAGUCAGUUGUGAAAGUUUGCGGCUCAACCGUAAAAUUGCAGUUGAAACUGGCAGUCUUGAGUACAGUAGAGGUGGGCGGAAUUCGUGGUGUAGCGGUGAAAUGCUUAGAUAUCACGCAGAACUCCGAUUGCGAAGGCAGCAUACCGGCGCCCAACUGACGCUGAAGCACGAAAGCGUGGGUAUCGAACAGGAUUAGAUACCCGCGUA
rnacentral:rRNA from 1 species